rnacentral:lncRNA from 1 species
AUGGAACUGUCUGAAUUAAGACAGCAACUGGGUUUAGCGAUGGUUCACAAUCCUGAAUGCACAGCAUCAUCAGCUGCAGACCCUUAAAAAUGUCAGACUCCGAAGGCCCACAUCGUGUGUCCAAGGAGCACGACCGAUGACACUGUGUGCUAACAAGCUACUUUUCAGCCAAGUGAGAAGCUGUGAUUUGGAAUCGUUAGGCAGAUGAUCUCUGGCUUCACAAUUCUGUGAUGCCACCUACCUUCCCUGCCAUCGGCUAAGAUGAGACAUACUCUAUCUUCGAAAUAGGAAGGCCACAAAAUAAGUGCUUCAACGUCCACAUCGUCAGCCACAGUGAAUUGUAGGCAUCGAGCACUGUGUGCGUGUUAGAGCCAGGGACAGUUUGAGAGAUAAGCAUCUGUAGCGGAAACAGCCUUGAAGUCGCAGAAGUGUUCAUGUCACUAAAUUGUAGCUCUCAUGGAACAUUGUGUUUAUUGGGCCAAUAUAAUACACAAGUUCAUCUUUCAGCUGGACCGUCUGAAACGUAAAUAGAUGAGGACCGUUCUGAUGCCAGGCUGUAAAUUCUGUCCACGGCAGUGAAGUCCACAUCAGCACAGUAAAAAAGAAUUCCUCUGAAACAUUUCCUCAAGACGACGAGGCCUGUGCAACAAUCACCCGCCAAAGAAUUAAAAUCACAUCAGGACAGUGAGCGAUACGACUUGCCGCUGAGAACACUGUACUCAGGGUCAGCGCCAAAGACCGUGACUUCAUGGUCCUGCCAUCUUUAUAAAAUGAAUCAAAUGGAGAGUACAUCUCCAGUCCUCUUCCAGAAUAAUGUGCGUAUGAAAUCACUUCACUGGAUACAUUUCUAAAGACUGAAGAAGAGGAAGGAAGAGGAGGAGGGAAAACUGUAAAAGGAAAUGAGAGAAUGAAGCUCUAAAAUGAGAACAAGGGGAGAUUUCAAAUUCCACGUCCCUGUUCUCCAGAUUUCUCCUCUCGUGUCGCCUCCCCGAGUGCCCAUGUGCGUCCCCUCUUCCAGGAGGCUGUCACGGAGAGUGCAGGGUAUCCGUUCCUCCUAUCACUCUCUGCCACUGAAGCCUGACUCAGGUACCGGUGAUCUCAGGAAAGAUGAAGAAGGGAGUGAAGAAAUGAGCCAGUAA